rnacentral:rRNA from 1 species
UCCUAGCUGUAAACGAUGCUCGCUAGGUGUCAGGCACGGUGCGUCCGUGUUUGGUGCCGCAGGGAAGCCGUGAAGCGAGCCACCUGGGAAGUACGGUCGCAAGGCUGAAACUUAAAGGAAUUGGCGGGGGAGCACUACAACGGGUGGAGCCUGCGGUUUAAUUGGAUUCAACGCCGGAAAACUCACCGGGUGCGACAGCAAUAUGUAGGUCAGGCUGAAGGUCUUACCUGAAUCGCUGAGAGGAGGUGCAUGGCCGUCGUCAGUUCGUACUGUGAAGCAUCCUGUUAAGUCAGGCAACGAGCGAGACCCGCGCCCACAGUUGCCAGCAUGUUCUCCGGAACGAUGGGCACACUGUGGGGACCGCCGCUGCUA